rnacentral:rRNA from 1 species
UACAGAGGGUGCAAGCGUUGUUCGGAAUUAUUGGGCGUAAAGGGCGCGUAGGCGGUGCGGUAAGUCUGUAGUGAAAUCUCUGGGCUCAACUCAGAGUCUGCUAUAGAAACUGCCGUGCUUGAGUGUGGGAGAGGUGAGUGGAAUUCCCGGUGUAGCGGUGAAAUGCGUAGAGAUCGGGAGGAACACCUGUGGCGAAGGCGGCCCCCUGGGCCGGCCCUGACACUGAGACGCGAAGGCGUGGGGAGCGAACGGG